GCAGAGCCACUGUGCAGGACAGGUCAGAGAGCGAAGGCCAGGGUCACUGGACAGGGUCCAGGGAAGUCCCUGUAGAGAGGAAAUGAAACCACAGCUUGGUGAGCAGGCCUCUGGGGUCUCAUUGUAAUUGAGAUUAUGGCCAGGUGUGGUGGCUCACGUUUGUAAUCUCAGCACUCAAGAGGCUGAGGCAGGAGGGUUUCAGCAAGUUUGAGGCCAGCCUGGGCUGCAUAGUGAGUUCAAGUUCAGCCUGAACUACAUAGUGAGACCCUGUGAUGAAGAAGAAGAAGAAGAGGAAGAAGAAGAGGAAGAAGAGUAGGAAGGGGAAGGAAGAAGAAGAAGGAGAAGAAGAAUUGGGAUUACAUUGGCCUCCUAGAAUGAGUUAAAGACCAUUGCCAAAGGUCAUCCUGUCUCAGGAAAGUCUGCACAGAACUUUCCUGUGGAACAGCUCCUGCAGAAUCGGCACAGGUCUGGACUAUUUGGAUUGUUUCACAAACUAUGGACAGAAUAUAAAAUGCAGUUCUCAAUGACUUUGAAAAGCAAAAGCAGAAGGCAAAUGCAGGAGAGAAAUCAAAGCUUGCGGAAGUGGCCCAUUGGAGAUGAAGUAACUCGUGAAGAACGGAGCCUCAGUCGCCUCACAGCACUGGAGGCUGAGAGGUCCAGGACCAAAGGGCUGCAUCCACUGAGGGCCUCUGUGCUCACGGGAAGCUGAGGCAGCAGGAUCACGAGUGUCAGCCUAGCCUGAGCAACUCAGCGACUUAGCUGGGGAUUUAGCUCAGUGCAGGCCCUGGAAUCAAUUCCUAAUAUAGGACAGGGAAAGGGAGAGAGAACGGGAGUGUUUAAUAAAAUUGAGCUCAAGAUAACUCAUUACCUCACAAACCUGUGAAUCCAUGAAUCCACCGUAUCACUCACUUUCCCACUGCUGGGACAAAAUGCCCAACGCCUACGGCUUAAAGGAGGACAGGUUUAUUUGGCUCAUGGUUUUCUCCAUGGUCAGCUGGCUCCAAGGCAGAAACAAGAUGCUGGAGGGGCGUGGCCAAGGAAAAGAGGCUCCCCUGUGAGCCAGGAAACAGAGAGAGGAGGGAGGAGCCAGGUCACAGCCCAGGGACCCCUUCCUGACAGCACAUUCAGCCUCAAACUCAUCAGUGCACGAAUCCACCUAGGGAACAGCAGCCCGUGAUCCAUCCACCUUCCGCAAACACGAGACACAAACACGGAGAGCGUUUUAGCAUCCAUCAGUGGACAAAUCCAUUCAGAGGUCCUUCUGGGCCCUCCUCGAAGUAUACUUGGAUUCUACUUCAGCAUGGGCUCAGGAGGGCGCGUCCACCCGCUGGCUUCACAGGGCCGCUCUGCACCACAUCUUCUUCCAGGCCCAGCAGCUCCGUCCUGCUUUGGGGACAGUGUGGUCUGACUCUCUGGGUGUCCAAAUUCAGUCAUCCAUAAAGACGUCCACUUCUCAGUGUCUCAGGGCCCCGACGAGCCUCCUCUUGCCUGUGUUCAUGAACUUGAAUGUUGUGCUGCCAGAUGGGCCUCAGGGAACGGCAGAAAUAACAGAGAUUUUGCACAUUUCUUUCUGCCUUCAUUUCCCUUGGAUUUACAGUAAUGCCUUCACUCACAAACUCUUUUGUUCAUGAACAAUUCAGUUGGGUUCGCGAGCAGAAGCAUUCAGCAAAAUUUUGCUUUUGUUCAGGAACUCUGCAUUGUGUGAGGAACACCCAGCCACCGUCCCCAGAUUCGUGGAACAGAUUAAGUUCAUGAACCGAGUUACCACUGUAUUUUAUUUCAGAGCACUGUUAACCAAACUGGGGUUCUCAAAACCUUGUUCACACAAUAUGUUCUUUGAAAAAUGGGUCUGUGUCAGGUGAGUUUGGGAAAGGGCUACAUUCCUCAGGCCCUCCUUGAGCAUUCACCAUUCGCUAUAAAGGCUAUAAAGGCUCUGAGAGGCCUGCAUUAACAAACUUUCCAGGCAAGGGCUUGCCAAGCUUUCAGCACAUGAGGCCCUGGAUGCUGAUUUGUGUCUUCUGUGAAACACAGUUUUAAAAUCCAGGGGACAGACUUUUGUAAAUGCUGCCCCAGCACAAAUAAGCUAUGCAAAACUUUAAAGUCAUAUUGUGAGUCCCUAAAAGAGGAAGAGAGUUUGCAGAGCUAUGGGAAAUGGAAUUCAGCUUACUAAAAAAAAAAAAAAUUACUAUAAACAAAAACCCAGAAAUGAAAUUCAGGGUUUCCCCAGCUCCAUUCACUCCAGGCUACCCCAAGGAACAUUCUACACCCAAUUCCCUUUCUUCACUGUAGACUCAUAACAAAGGACAAAGAGUUAGGACAAAGAGCAAGGGAGGAAUUCAAUGGGCUAGCAAAGUGAUAUAGCCACAUUCUAUAUUCAUGUUAUUCCUAUUUUUCAAGAUAUCAUCCCAUAGGGCUAUCACUUGACCUCUCUGUGAUGCCCUAUCUCAUCUGUAAAAUGGGAUAGAAUGAAGAUCCACCUCACCAACAGUAAUGAGGAAGAAUGAUUUAAUGAACAUCAAACAUUUAGAAUAAUAACAUACUGGAAGAGUCCAAGUUUGAACCAAGCCUGGGCAACUUAGUGACUUAUUGA
rnacentral:lncRNA from 1 species